rnacentral:rRNA from 1 species
AUGGUAUAAGAUGGGCAUGCGUCUGAUUAGCUAGUUGGUGAGGUAACGGCUCACCAAGGCGACGAUCAGUAGGGGUUCUGAGAGGAUUAUCCCCCACACUGGUACUGAGACACGGACCAG